GAUCCUAGGCUCAGGAUGAACGCUGGCGGCGUGCCUAAUACAUGCAAGUCGAACGCUUUGUAAAGGAGCUUGCUUCUUUACGAGGAGUGGCGAACGGGUGAGUAAUACAUAAGCAAUCUGCCCAUCGGCCUGGGAUAACAGUUGGAAACGACUGCUAAUACCGGAUAGGUUAGUUCUGGCAUCAGGGACUAAUUAAAGUUGGGAUACAACACGGAUGGAUGAGCUUAUGCGUAUUAG
rnacentral:rRNA from 1 species